GACGAACGCUGGCGGCGUGCCUAAUACAUGCAAGUCGAGCGGACGGAUGGGAGCUUGCUCCCAGACCGUCAGCGGCGGACGGGUGAGUAACACGUGGGCAACCUGCCUGUAAGACUGGGAUAACUCCGGGAAACCGGGGCUAAUACCGGAUAACUCUUUCCCUCACAUGAGGGAAAGCUGAAAGAUGGCAUCUCGCUAUCACUUACAAAUGGGCCCGCGGCGCAUUAGCUAGUUGGUGAGGUAACGGCUCACCAAGGCGACGAUGCGUAGCCGACCUGAGAGGGUGAUCGGCCACACUGGGACUGAGACACGGCCCAGACUCCUACGGGAGGCAGCAGUAGGGAAUCUUCCGCAAUGGACGAAAGUCUGACGGAGCAACGCCGCGUGAGUGAUGAAGGUUUUCGGAUCGUAAAACUCUGUUGUCAGGGAAGAACAAGUACCGGAGUAACUGCCGGUACCUUGACGGUACCUGACCAGAAAGCCACGGCUAACUACGUG
rnacentral:rRNA from 1 species